rnacentral:rRNA from 1 species
GAUGAACGCUAGCGGCAGGCCUAACACAUGCAAGUCGAGGGGUAGAGGAAGCUUGCUUCCUUGAGACCGGCGCACGGGUGCGUAACGCGUAUGCAAUCUACCUUUUACAGAGGGAUAGCCCAGAGAAAUUUGGAUUAAUACCUCAUAGUAUUUUCGAAUGGCAUCAUUUGAUUAUUAAAGUUCCAACGGUAAAAGAUGAGCAUGCGUCCUAUUAGCUAGAUGGUAAGGUAACGGCUUACCAUGGCAACGAUAGGUAGGGGUCCUGAGAGGGAGAUCCCCCACACUGGUACUGAGACACGGACCAGACUCCUACGGGAGGCAGCAGUGAGGAAUAUUGGACAAUGGGCGCAAGCCUGAUCCAGCCAUGCCGCGUGCAGGAAGACGCAUCUAUGGUGUGUAAACUGCUUUUGUACGGGAAGAAACACUCCCUCGUGAGGGAGCUUGACGGUACCGUAAGAAUAAGGAUCGGCUAACUCCGUGCCAGCCGCCGCAGUAACAC